AGUGAACGCUGGCGGUAGGCCUAACACAUGCGAGUCGAACGGCAGCACAGUAAGAGCUUGCUCUUACGGGUGGCGAGUGGCGGACGGGUGAGGAAUACAUCGGAAUCUACUUUUUCGUGGGGGAUAACGUAGGGAAACUUACGCUAAUACCGCACACGACCUACGGGUGAAAGCAGGGGAUCUUCGGACCUUGCGCGAUUGAAUGAGCCGAUGUCGGAUUAGCUAGUUGGCGGGGUAAAGGCCCACCAAGGCGACGAUCCGUAGCUGGUCUGAGAGGAUGAUCAGCCACACUGGAACUGAGACACGGUCCAGACUCCUACGGGAGGCAGCAGUGGGGAAUAUUGGACAAUGGGCGCAAGCCUGAUCCAGCCAUACCGCGUGGGUGAAGAAGGCCUUCGGGUUGUAAAGCCCUUUUGUUGGGAAAGAAAAGCAGCAGGUUAAUACCCCGCUGUUCUGACGGUACCCAAAGAAUAAGCACCGGCUAACUUCGUG
rnacentral:rRNA from 1 species